rnacentral:rRNA from 1 species
CACGUAGGGCGCAAGCGUUGUUCGGAUUCACUGGGCGUAAAGGGUGCGUAGGCGGUUGGGUAAGUCUGACGUGAAAUCUCCGGGCCCAACCCGGAAACUGCGUUGGAUACUAUCCGGCUAGAGGAAUGGAGGGGAGACUGGAAUACUUGGUGUAGCAGUGAAAUGCGUAGAUAUCAAGUGGAACACCAGUGGCGAAGGCGAGUCUCUGGGCAUUUCCUGACGCUGAGGCACGAAAGCCAGGGGAGCAAACGGG